GGUCAGGAUGAACGCUAGCUACAGGCUUAACACAUGCAAGUCGAGGGGCAGCAUUGGGAUAGCUUGCUAUUCAGAUGGCGACCGGCGCACGGGUGAGUAACGCGUAUCCAACCUUCCUGCCAGUAGGGAACAGCCCGGCGAAAGUCGGAUUAAUGCCCUAUGUUCUUCAAUGCGGACAUCUAAGUUGAAGGAAAGAUUCAUCGCUGGCAGAUGGGGAUGCGUCCGAUUAGCUUGCCGGCGGGUAACGGCCCACCGGGGCGACGAUCGGUAGGGGUUCUGAGAGGAAGGUCCCCCACACUGGUACUGAGACACGGACCAGACUCCUACGGGAGGCAGCAGUGAGGAAUAUUGGUCAAUGGGCGUAAGCCUGAACCAGCCAAGUAGCGUGCAGGAUGACGGCCCUACGGGUUGUAAACUGCUUUUAUGCGGGGAUAAAGUGCGGCACGUGUGCCGCUUUGCAGGUACCGCAUGAAUAAGGACCGGCUAAUUCCGUGCCAGCCGCCGC
rnacentral:rRNA from 1 species